UACAGAGGGUGCAAGCGUUAAUCGGAAUUACUGGGCGUAAAGCGCGCGUAGGUGGUUCGUUAAGUUGGAUGUGAAAUCCCCGGGCUCAACCUGGGAACUGCAUCCAAAACUGGCGAGCUAGAGUAGGGCAGAGGGUGGUGGAAUUUCCUGUGUAGCGGUGAAAUGCGUAGAUAUAGGAAGGAACACCAGUGGCGAAGGCGACCACCUGGACUGAUACUGACACUGAGGUGCGAAAGCGUGGGGAGCAAACAGG
rnacentral:rRNA from 1 species